GGGCCCAUAGCUCAGUGGCAAAGCAUCUGAUUUGCAUGCAGGAGGUCCCAGAUUUAAUCCCUGGCGUCUCCA